rnacentral:rRNA from 1 species
AGCGUACACGGUGGAUGCCCUGGCAGUCAGAGGCGAUGAAGGACGUGCUAAUCUGCGAUAAGCGUCGGUAAGGUGAUAUGAACCGUUAUAACCGGCGAUUUCCGAAUGGGGAAACCCAGUGUGAUUCGUCACACUAUCAUUAACUGAAUCCAUAGGUUAAUGAGGCGAACCGGGGGAACUGAAACAUCUAAGUACCCCGAGGAAAAGAAAUCAACCGAGAUUCCCCCAGUAGCGGCGAGCGAACGGGGAGGAGCCCAGAGCCUGAAUCAGUGUGUGUGUUAGUGGAAGCGUCUGGAAAGGCGCGCGAUACAGGGUGACAGCCCCGUACACAAAAAUGCACAUGCUGUGAGCUCGAUGAGUAGGGCGGGACACGUGGUAUCCUGUCUGAAUAUGGGGGGACCAUCCUCCAAGGCUAAAUACUCCUGACUGACCGAUAGUGAACCAGUACCGUGAGGGAAAGGCGAAAAGAACCCCGGCGAGGGGAGUGAAAAAGAACCUGAAACCGUGUACGUACAAGCAGUGGGAGCACAGAGCAAUCUGUGUGACUGCGUACCUUUUGUAUAAUGGGUCAGCGACUUAUAUUCUGUAGCAAGGUUAACCGAAUAGGGGAGCCGAAGGGAAACCGAGUCUUAACUGGGCGUUAAGUUGCAGGGUAUAGACCCGAAACCCGGUGAUCUAGCCAUGGGCAGGUUGAAGGUUGGGUAACACUAACUGGAGGACCGAACCGACUAAUGUUGAAAAAUUAGCGGAUGACUUGUGGCUGGGGGUGAAAGGCCAAUCAAACCGGGAGAUAGCUGGUUCUCCCCGAAAGCUAUUUAGGUAGCGCCUCGUGAAUUCAUCUCCGGGGGUAGAGCACUGUUUCGGCAAGGGGGUCAUCCCGACUUACCAACCCGAUGCAAACUGCGAAUACCGGAGAAUGUUAUCACGGGAGACACACGGCGGGUGCUAACGUCCGUCGUGAAGAGGGAAACAACCCAGACCGCCAGCUAAGGUCCCAAAGUCAUGGUUAAGUGGGAAACGAUGUGGGAAGGCCCAGACAGCCAGGAUGUUGGCUUAGAAGCAGCCAUCAUUUAAAGAAAGCGUAAUAGCUCACUGGUCGAGUCGGCCUGCGCGGAAGAUGUAACGGGGCUAAACCAUGCACCGAAGCUGCGGCAGCGACGCUGAUGCGUUGUUGGGUAGGGGAGCGUUCUGUAAGCCUGUGAAGGUGUGCUGUGAGGCAUGCUGGAGGUAUCAGAAGUGCGAAUGCUGACAUAAGUAACGAUAAAGCGGGUGAAAAGCCCGCUCGCCGGAAGACCAAGGGUUCCUGUCCAACGUUAAUCGGGGCAGGGUGAGUCGACCCCUAAGGCGAGGCCGAAAGGCGUAGUCGAUGGGAAACAGGUUAAUAUUCCUGUACUUGGUGUUACUGCGAAGGGGGGACGGAGAAGGCUAUGUUGGCCGGGCGACGGUUGUCCCGGUUUAAGCGUGUAGGCUGGUUUUCCAGGCAAAUCCGGAAAACUAAGGCUGAGGCGUGAUGACGAGGCACUACGGUGCUGAAGCAACAAAUGCCCUGCUUCCAGGAAAAGCCUCUAAGCAUCAGGUAACAUCAAAUCGUACCCCAAACCGACACAGGUGGUCAGGUAGAGAAUACCAAGGCGCUUGAGAGAACUCGGGUGAAGGAACUAGGCAAAAUGGUGCCGUAACUUCGGGAGAAGGCACGCUGAUAUGUAGGUGAAGUCCCUCGCGGAUGGAGCUGAAAUCAGUCGAAGAUACCAGCUGGCUGCAACUGUUUAUUAAAAACACAGCACUGUGCAAACACGAAAGUGGACGUAUACGGUGUGACGCCUGCCCGGUGCCGGAAGGUUAAUUGAUGGGGUCAGCGCAAGCGAAGCUCUUGAUCGAAGCCCCGGUAAACGGCGGCCGUAACUAUAACGGUCCUAAGGUAGCGAAAUUCCUUGUCGGGUAAGUUCCGACCUGCACGAAUGGCGUAAUGAUGGCCAGGCUGUCUCCACCCGAGACUCAGUGAAAUUGAACUCGCUGUGAAGAUGCAGUGUACCCGCGGCAAGACGGAAAGACCCCGUGAACCUUUACUAUAGCUUGACACUGAACAUUGAGCCUUGAUGUGUAGGAUAGGUGGGAGGCUUUGAAGUGUGGACGCCAGUCUGCAUGGAGCCGACCUUGAAAUACCACCCUUUAAUGUUUGAUGUUCUAACGUUGACCCGUAAUCCGGGUUGCGGACAGUGUCUGGUGGGUAGUUUGACUGGGGCGGUCUCCUCCUAAAGAGUAACGGAGGAGCACGAAGGUUGGCUAAUCCUGGUCGGACAUCAGGAGGUUAGUGCAAUGGCAUAAGCCAGCUUGACUGCGAGCGUGACGGCGCGAGCAGGUGCGAAAGCAGGUCAUAGUGAUCCGGUGGUUCUGAAUGGAAGGGCCAUCGCUCAACGGAUAAAAGGUACUCCGGGGAUAACAGGCUGAUACCGCCCAAGAGUUCAUAUCGACGGCGGUGUUUGGCACCUCGAUGUCGGCUCAUCACAUCCUGGGGCUGAAGUAGGUCCCAAGGGUAUGGCUGUUCGCCAUUUAAAGUGGUACGCGAGCUGGGUUUAGAACGUCGUGAGACAGUUCGGUCCCUAUCUGCCGUGGGCGCUGGAGAACUGAGGGGGGCUGCUCCUAGUACGAGAGGACCGGAGUGGACGCAUCACUGGUGUUCGGGUUGUCAUGCCAAUGGCACUGCCCGGUAGCUAAAUGCGGAAGAGAUAAGUGCUGAAAGCAUCUAAGCACGAAACUUGCCCCGAGAUGAGUUCUCCCUGACUCCUUGA